rnacentral:lncRNA from 1 species
AAAUGUAAUUUUGAGUUACUUUUUUUUUUGAACCAUUCUGUUCAUAAAAAUCUGAAUUUCAUGGCUUUUCUUCUUAGAGGUCUCACAAAGAGUGCAUAUAUAUGUAUUUUUUUCUUUUAUGUAGAAUAAAACGCAUUCCUGUAAUUUCAUACAGAUCUGUUGGAGCCUUUUAUAUAACCUAUGAUAUAUUCUUGGAUCUUAAUGAUCUUAUUUUUCCUAUAUUUGAAACAUAUUGCUACUUAAUCAUCCUAGGAAUUAUUUUCUAUCAUUAUUCAUUGAGUAUUUCCAACUAUGACUUUAAAAAAUUUAAAAGGAGAGCAAAAAAUUGUGGAAUUAACUAGAUGGAUAAUAUAAUAGUAAAAUUAAUAAUCAUCUUUCAAGUUUCUCUUGUGUCAUCAAAAAUAUGGCAUCAUCCUUCAAAGGAUAAAAGGGGAGUUCUCAUUUUAGAAAUUUGAUUUAAUUUUUUUAAAUUUUGAAAGAAAUAACACACUUAGACAACCGUUGGAAUUAUAGUACAAAGAACUUGGGUAUGAGUGUUCACUCAUGCCCAUCACCCUGAACAGCUUAGUGUCUAUUUCCUACACAGGGGGACCCCUUGCUACACAAUCACAACAUGGCCUUUGGUCAGACAAUCCACACAGUCCAUACCCCACCUGAUCUCCCUCCCUUUCCCCUCACAGCAUGAGCUCCACUAGCGAGACAACAUUUUUUAAAAAGUUUUAUUGAAGAACAGUUGACUUAUAAUGUUGUGAUAAUUUCUGCUGUACAACAAAUGAUUCAGUUAUACAUGUACACACAUCCAUUCUCUUUCAGAUUCUUUUCCCAUAUGGAUUACCACAGAAUAUUGGGUAGAGUUCCCUGUGUAUGCAUUAGGUCUCUGUUGGUCCAUCAUUCCAUAUAACUCAGUGUGCAUAUGCCAAUCCCACACCCCAUCCAUCGCUUCCCCCUCACUGUCCCCUUUGGUAACCAUAAAUUUUUCAAAGUCCACGAGUCUGUUUCUGUUCUGCAAAUAAAUUCCUUUGUAUCCUUUUUUUAGAAUCCACAUAGAAGUGAUAUCAUAUGAUGUUUGCCUUUGACUAACUUCACUUAGUAUGAUCAUCUCUAGGUCCAUCCAUGUUGCUGCAAAUGGCAUUAUUUCAUUCUUUUUUAUGGCUGAGAUUAUCAUUUUUAUAGCACAUUUUUGUACCAUAUGAUGUCACUUAUAUGUGGAAUCUGAAAUAUAGCACAAAUGAACCUGUUUACAAUACAGAAGAGACUCACAGACACAGAGGACAGACUUGUGGUUGUCAAGGGGGAGGCGGAAGGCCGUGAGAGGGACUGGGAGAUUGGGGUUAGUAGAUGCCAACUCUUACAUUUAGAAUGGAUAAGCAAUGAGGUCCUACUCUAUAGCAUGGGGAUCUAUAUCCAGUCCCUUGGGAUAGGCCGUGAUGGAAGAUAGUAUAACAAAAGGAAUGUACGUGAAUAUAGGAGUGGGUCACCUUGCAGUAUGGCAGAAAUAGGCAUAACAUUGUAAAUCAACUACACUUUAAUUUUAAAAAUAAAUAUAGCAAUAAGUAUGGCAUAUUUUUGAAUUUCCUUAAACACAGUUGAGAACCUUGAAAUUUCCUUUUUUAAUCCAUAAGGCCUGAAGAGAAUUGACUGAGAAAUACAUCACAAUUCCUAGACAAAUCAGAAAGUGAAUACGAACAGCAUUCUUGAGAAAGCACGAUCUAGUGCAGUAGCACCUAGCUAAGUGUGGUUUUUGAGUACUAGAAAUGUGGUUGGUUUGAAUCAACUGUUAUGUAAAAUAGACACAAGAUUUUGAAGCCUGUACACAACAAUAUAUGAGAAAAUAUCUCAAUAUAUUUUUCUAUCGAUUACAUAUUAAAAUGAUAGUAUUUUGGAUAUAUUAGGUUAAAUUAAUACAUUAUUUCAAUUUACUUUUACCUAUUUAUUUAAAAAUUUUAACGUGGCUACUAGAAAAUUUAAAUUGCAUAUAUGGCUUUUAAAUUACAUAUUUCUUUUAGAACGUGCAGCUCUAGAUGGUAGUAUCAAUCACGUAAGUGAAAUAGAUUGCAUCUUCAGAUCGUAAGUUCCUGGACACUCAGAUGGAUGUCCCCAAAGUCAUGAAUCAGUGAAUGAAAAACACAUCUCUAAGGACAGAAACCAAAAUAGGGUAUUCUCAUAUGAGACAGGCUGUGUCACACAGUAUUUUGUGACAAGAACUUAGACUUUUCUGUUUCAUUAAGAGAAUGUGUGACUGUGUUGUGCCAUAUUUCAUAACAUAUAUAUGCCACAAAUUUUACUUGAUAAGUAGAUUUGCUAUGUUUAAAUUCUGAUUGCAAUUUCUAAUGAGGUUAUUUUUUUUAAACCCAUGUCUUUAUUCUUCUGUAGAUUAUUUGAAAGUGACUUUAGCAAUAAAAAUUUAGUUGGGUUUAUUUAAUCCAAUUUGAAAAUUACCUUGUGGGUACUAGACUGUGGGUUGGUUGUUUUCACCGCAAAGCAGUUCUGAGGCUGGACCAUUUAGAACUCAGUAGUACAUGUUAAGCAGUCUUUAUGGGAGACUUUUUGUAGAUUUUCAGUAACGUGAUUAUCAGGAAAGAAUGUAAGGACACCUUUGAAGGCUCAAGGUCACAUGCUGCUUUAUUCAGAAGGAGAAAAAUUAAUAGGAUUCAGACUAUGGUUACCACCACAGACCUAGAUAUUUCUAUUUUAAGAAAGAUUCCAAGUAGAAAUAGCCCCUAGGGAAAGCAAACUAUUCUAGAAUUUAUAGCAUUUUCCUUAGGCAUUUGAGGCAGUCAAAACAGGGCUUACUCAUUUCCAAAGAAUGUUUCUAAACUGCAUUUAAUUUUAAUCUUAUAAUCUAAUCUUCCUUUGCAUUGUGUAUGAUUCAAGAGCAUUUUCUUCUCUGACUGAAAAAUGUGUCCAGCUGUUUCAUAACAAACAUGGGAGAGCUGUUUACAUGCUGAUCGAGUGGCUGUCAUAUGUAAGGCCCAGAGCUAAACCCUGGAGAAUAAAGCUGAAUUCAUCCAAUUCCCUACUCUUCAGGAGCUUAUGAUGUAGGAAGUAUUGCAAAAGGGAAGAAAGAGGUUCCAGAUAAGUGGACUUCAGUAUUACAAGGAUGAGAGAGGAGAAAGGGGAGGAGAUAUGUGGAGUACCAUCAUUGUGCCAUGAAUUUUCUAUAUAUGAUGGAUCCACAAUUCUGGCAAUAUAAAAGGCAUAAAAAUGAAAGUGAAAGUCAUCCAGAAUCCUACCACCCAGAGACGGCCAUAUGAUCUUCUGGACAGGAUGUAUGUCCCAGGCCCCCACAAAUUCAUAUGUUGAUCCUAUAACUCCCCAUGUGAUAGUAUUAGGAGAUGAGGCCUCUGGGAGGUCAUUGGGUUUAGAUGAAGUCACCAGGAUGGGGUCUUCACGAUGGGAUUAGUGCCCUUUUAGAAGAAAAAGAGAGCGCUGUCUCCUUCUGUCACUUUUUCUCUGUCUUCCUCCCCAUGUGAAGUUAUAGCCACAAGGGAAGCAUCUGUAAGCUGGAACCUAACUGUGCUAGACUCUGAUCUCUGACUUCCCAGCCUCCAGAACUAUGAGAAACCAAUGUCUGUUUUUUUUUUUUUUUUUUGCUCUUUAGGGCCUUACCUGUGGCAUAUGGAGGUUCCCAGACUAGGGGUCAAAUCAGAGUUGCAGCUGCCAGCUUACACAUGCCACAGCCACAGCAAUGCGGGAUCUGAGCUGCGUCUGUGACCUACACCACAGCUCAUGGCAAUGCCAGAUCCUUAACCCAAUGAGCAAGGCCAGGGAUAAAACCCACAUCCUUAUUGAUACUAGUUGGAUUCAUUUCCACUGCCACAACCAGAACUCCCUCAAUGUCUACUGUUUAAGCCACCCCGUCUGUGGUAGUUUGUUAUGGCAGUCUGAGUGGACAGGGACACUGCAUUCAGUGUAUAACCUUCUAGAGCGGUAUGUGUACCUGAAGAUGUAUAACAUAUGAAAUACUAGUUCAUACUAUACAUGCUUAUAUAUGGUUAAAUUAUGAUCAUUUUCAAUUAACAAUAUAUCAAAAGUAUCUAUAUUUGAAUAAUAACAAAUGUCAAUUUUCACAAUUUUAACUUUAAAAAUUACCGUAAUUUUUAAUGGUUCACAAUAAAUUUUACUAUGUGCAUAUGCAGCUUAACGGCCCUGUGAUAAGCAUAUUUAUGCACUUUUGUGAACUUGUUUUUUAUUAAUAUAAAUGAAAAAAGUGGUUACCAGGUUUUAAAGAGUAUAUACUUGAUACAUAUUUAAGAUUACAUCCCCCAAAUGAAUCUUCCCACCACAGUACAUGAGGAUCAGACUUUUCUUACACCUUUGCCAAUAAUGAUAUUUUCAAUGCUCUCUGAAUCUGUCAAAUUUAUGGGUAAAUAUGAUAUCUAAGUUUUAAAAUGUUUUAUUUCUUUGCCUUCUAUUUGGACAUUUUAUUUUAUAUUUGCAAGUCUGGACACCUUAUUGUAUGCUUGCAUGUCUUCUUUAGAAAUAGUGAUUUAUGUCCUUUGCCUAUUUUCUAUUUAAGGGCCAAUCUUUUCCUCAUCAGUUUAUAUGAGACCUUAAUAUAUGAAGGAUAUUAUGUUGUAAUGGAUGUUACAAAUGUUUUCUACGACUGACUUUGAAUAUUUAUCAGUGCUUCUUAUAUGGGUUGGAAUAGCGAUGUUUUCUUAUGAGAUAUAGAAUUUCCAGAGACUAAAUGAUCUUUUCAUCUUCAUGCAUUAACGCAUAACUUUGUUCGAGGAAAGAGUGAAGUCUUUGUAGAAGCAAGCUCUAAUCAAAACUUGGAGGGAUGCUCUACUUCUCUGAACCUCAUUAAGUACAGAUAACAUAUCACAUUGAUUCGAAUCAUUAGAUAAAUUUUGAAAUAGCCAAUUCACCCUGAUACCUUAGCUAACACAAACAGUUUCAGCUAUUGACAUGAUGACCCGGGGUUAUUAUUCCCAGCAGCACAUUUCAAUUUAACAAAACUAUCAAAACAAAUUAAACUUCAAUUAUCCAAUCUGCCUGAUGAGGCUGAGGGCAGCCAGAGGCCAGGCUUUAUCGCUAGGAGCCUGCAUCUUUGUGUUUCUCAUUCCUGGUCACACCCGUCUCUUCCAGCUUCUCUCCCAGCAUCCAAAGGGAGACUCACUCCUUUGGAAAAUGCCAGGUUGAAUAACUUGUCCCAGUCAUUGGGGAGGAUAUUUCUUCUCUCAAGGAAAAUUUGAAGUUUGGGGAAGUGUUUUUCUUUAGAGCACAGCAACUGAAGUGUGCUCUCAUAGUCAGACUCAUUGAUUACCUGGUCCCCAAACCACAUUCUCCCCUUCCCCUGCCUUCCCCUGAUCGAAACAUUCAGGUUUCAGAAGAUGAGCAGAUUGUACAUGAAACUUGAAUUUAACGGAAUAUUAAUUCAGAGUAACCCUUGGAUUUGACUUCAUAUGUGUAACUUUUAUAUAGUUAAAUAUGUAUGUUUAACUUCUGCCCCCUUUUACAUUUCAAAACUUCCUUCUCUACAUACAAACUUCUCAACAUUUCCAUCCUCCCAGAAAAUAAAAUGUGUUAGCACAGAGCUACACAGCACAAAUUACCAUGCUUUCCCCAAAUAAUGCCCGUUGUUUGGAACUUUUUGCCAUUUGAAGAAGCCAAAUAGAGGGAAAAAAAUGUCAUGGGUAUCUAAUGAAACAAAUCCGCCAACACUCAAAUUCUUCAGUUUUUAGAGGUCCUUUGCUCCACUGAUGCCUCUUGGGGAAAUCCUGAAAAAUAAUCUAUCUGUAAACAAUCUAUUUCAGUGCCACAUGUUUUCUAAAUUUCUUUGCCUCUUGACCUUCAAAGAAAGAAAAACAUAUUUGCAUGUGAAAACAGGACUUUUUGUUUCUUAUACAUCUAUUCUAUCAGAGAAAGUUAAGUUGAAAUCGGUCGUUUUGCCUAAUUGCUUGUGAAGGAUCAUUUUUUUCUGAAGGACAUUGCCUAGUUCUUUGGCCAACCUUAAUUAUUAUUAUUUAUUUUCUUUUUAGGGCCACUCCUGUGGCAUAUGGAAGUUCCUGGGCUAGGGGUCAAAUCAGAGCUUCAGCUGCUGGCCUUCACCUCAGCCACACCAAAGCUUUAAUCCAUUGAGCGAGGCUGGGGAUCAACCUGCAUCCUCAUGGACACUAAGUUGGGUUCUUAACCCACUGAGCCAUAACAGUAACUCCUUGGCCAACAUUAUUUUAAAAUGCUAAGGUCUGGAGUUCCUGUAUGGCUCAGAGGAAAUGAACUCAACUACUCUCCAAGAGGAUGUAGGUUCAAUCCCUGAUGGCUCAAAUCUGGCAUUGCUGUGGCUGUGGUGUAGGCUGGCAGCUGUAACUCCAUUUCGACCCUAGCCUGGGAACCUCCAUAUGCUGCAUCUGUGG